AAACAUCGACUUCGGAUCGUUAAAGACGGCCUUCAGAUUGGCAUUCAAGUGCACCAGCAACAACGACAAGCCCGGAUCAUUCUCGGCGAUCGUCAGCACCGACUGCAAUGAACAUGAGUUACAUAUGUUUUUUUAUUUCCGAUCAAAGCGUUUAAUUGCCGAGCAUGCAAUUAACUUUGCGCCGAAACCAAAGCAGUCGAGAGCAAACAAGCGUCAGUUUAACGGUGGGUUAGUGGCAGCUGGGAGGUUAGAGGCGCGCAUGCGUGUUAAUUGCAAUUUCAAUGCAGUAAAAUAAGCGUAAAUUUUUAAUUACUAAAUAUGUAGUUAU